rnacentral:rRNA from 1 species
CUACGUGCCAGCAGCCGCGGUAAUACGGGGGGUGCGAGCGUUAAUCGGAAUAACUGGGCGUAAAGGGCACGUAGGCGGACCUUUAAGUGAGGUGUGAAAUCCCCGGGCUUAACCUGGGAAUUGCAUUUCAUACUGGGGGUCUGGAGUACUUUAGGGAGGGGUAGAAUUCCACGUGUAGCGGUGAAAUGCGUAGAGAUGUGGAGGAAUACCGAAGGCGAAGGCAGCCCCUUGGGGAUGUACUGACGCUGAUGUGCGAAAGCGUGGGGAGCAAACAGGAUUAGAUACCCUGGUAGUCCACGCUGUAAACGGUGUCGAUUUGGGGAUUGGGGUUUAGCCCUGGUGCCCGAAGCUAACGUGAUAAAUCGACCGCCUGGGGAGUACGGCCGCAAGGUUAAAACUCAAAUGAAUUGACGGGGGCCCGCACAAGCGGUGGAGCAUGUGGUUUAAUUCGAUGCAACGCGAAGAACCUUACCUACUCUUGACAUCCGAAGAAGAACUCAGAGAUGGG